rnacentral:rRNA from 1 species
GACGAGUCUCACGAACGUUAUUCGGAAUUACUGGGCUUAAAGGGUGCGUAGGCGGUGGAGUAAGUCGGAUGUGAAAUACCAUAGCUUAACUAUGGAACUGCACUCGAUACUACUUUGCUAGAGUAAGACAGAGGUGAGUGGAACUGAGGGUGGAGCGGUGAAAUGCGUUGAUAUCCUCAGGAACACCGGUGGCGAAGGCGACUCACUGGGUCGUUACUGACGCUGAUGCACGAAAGCUAGGGUAGCAAACGGG